rnacentral:rRNA from 1 species
GACGAACGCUGGCGGCGUGCUUAACACAUGCAAGUCGAACGGAAAGGCCCUGCUUUUGUGGGUUGCUCGAGUGGCGAACGGGUGAGUAACACGUGAGUAACCUGCCCUUGACUUUGGGAUAACUUCAGGAAACUGGGGCUAAUACCGGAUAGGAGCUCCUGCUGCAUGGUGGGGGUUGGAAAGUUUCGGCGGUUGGGGAUGGACUCGCGGCUUAUCAGCUUGUUGGUGGGGUAGUGGCUUACCAAGGCUUUGACGGGUAGCCGGCCUGAGAGGGUUACCGGCCACAUUGGGACUGAGAUACGGCCCAGACGCCUACGGGAGGCAGCAGUGGGGAAUAUUGCACAAUGGGCGGAAGCCUGAUGCAGCAACGCCGCGUGCGGGAUGACGGCCUUCGGGUUGUAAACCGCUUUCGCCUGUGACGAAGCGUGAGUGACGGUAAUGGGUAAAGAAGCACCGGCUAACUACGUG